CGGCCAUGCAGGGCGCAUGCGCGGUCUGCCUCCCGCGGCGGGCCGGGUCUCCAGGGAGGACCUGAGUUUUCUUCACCCAUUGUCAGGGAGGCGCCAUCGCCCUGGCUUUGGGGCUGGGGCCUCCGGGGAGGUUCCGGUAGGGGCGUUGGAGAGGCCGCUCUUUUUGCAAGGCCCGAGACGGCGGGCCUUGCGCAGGCCGCCCUAUUCCGCGCCCUCAGGGCGUCAGUAUCAGCCUGAGGCUGGAUACCCCCGCUGGGCCCAGAUGCCCCCGCUGGGCCCGGAGCAUCCUCCGGCGCUGCCCUCCCAGAGCCACGCAGAGGCUGAGGUGGCGCGGGGGCGGCCCUGGCUCCGCGAGAAGCGGCGGCAGCGAGGGCUGGAGGACCCGGGCUGCGGGGCUCCGGGGCGUCUGGCCUGGGUGGGACUGAGCCCAUCCAGGGACUGGGACUCCGGGGUUCUGGUGUAGGUGGAUCCGGGGCAGGCUCAGGACCAAGUCCCUCUCCUUCCACCAAGGAGCGCCCAGAGGCCGGCGGGAGCUCCAGGUUCACCUCCUCCUCCUCCAGGAAAUCCCACUUCCAACUGGAUGUCUGGAUGAACUACUGAAAGCUGCUGAGUGUCCUGCAGCAGGCCAUUUCCAAUCCAGCGGAAGACCUUCUAGAAGAGAUGAUGGUGGGAGAGUGCUGACAUACUAUGUGAAGCUACUAUUUGGAGUUGGACACGAGUGCAUGUGUCCUUGUGCCACAACGGGAAUGUGAGCUGGAUGACAAAUGGAGAUUUGGACUUGUGAUAAUUGGCCUCUGUGUCAUUGUGUGGAAGACUGACUGGUCCCUUUAUUUCCUGUAGCUUGACUACAACACAAAUGAAUCCACUCAAAUGUUGGCAAGUGGAGCAGAGUCCCAGAACAGGUACAGAAACACCCCCAGUUCAAGGAUCUUCACACCUGG
rnacentral:lncRNA from 1 species